CUACGGGUGGCUGCAGUGAGGAAUAUUGGACAAUGGUCGAAAGACUGAUCCAGCCAUGCCGCGUGCAGGAUGACUGCCCUAUGGGUUGUAAACUGCUUUUAUACGGGAAGAAAAACACCUACGUGUAGGUGACUGACGGUACCGUAAGAAUAAGGACCGGCUAACUCCGUGCCAGCAGCCGCGGUAAUACGGAGGGUCCAAGCGUUAUCCGGAAUCAUUGGGUUUAAAGGGUCCGUAGGCGGGCUAUUAAGUCAGAGGUGAAAGUUUGCAGCUCAACUGUAAAAUUGCCUUUGAUACUGAUAGUCUUGAAUUGUAGUGAAGUGGUUAGAAUAUGUGGUGUAGCGGUGAAAUGCAUAGAUAUCACAUAGAAUACCGAUUGCGAAGGCAGAUCACUAACUAUAUAUUGACGCUGAGGGACGAAAGCGUGGGGAGCGAACGGGAUUAGAUACCCCCGUAGUC
rnacentral:rRNA from 1 species